GAGGAGUGGGGGCUGGGGGAGACGAGCGUGGCACCUGCUGCAUUAGGGAGGCUGCCUCCAGACACAGCGCAUGCGCUCUCUGGGCCUCAGCUCUCCCUUGUGCAGGGAGUUUGAGGGCAGAGUGCCCAGCGUCUCUUGAUGUCUCCUUGGGAGCCUCCUUCCUCCAGCACUCAGUCCAUUAGGUCCUCGCAGGGCUCGCAGGGAGUGAUAUGGCCCUGGGUGGGCCCCUCCUGGGAGCUCCGAUGUCCUCUGCCCAGGCUCUCAGGCUCCCGUCAGGAUCAGCCCCAGCCCGGCUUCCCACACAAAGAUGCCGCCUCCGAGAGGUGGACAGAGGUCUUCUGGAGCCCGAGGCCGGAGGAAGGUAAGGACCCGCGCUCCUGGGCCUCCCUGCACCCUCCCAGCCCGCUGAGUUUAGGUACCCCUGGGUUCACCUCACACCUGACUCCUCCCACAGGCCCCGCCUCUGGGGGCACCCAGCCCUCUACUAGGCCUUCCUGUCAUCCGACUUCCAACCGCAGCCAACAGGGAGGCUUUUUCUUCGGUGAUGAACCCACCUGUUUCCUGAGACAAGCCGAGCCUACUUAGUAAUGGCGAUAGCUCUUUUUAACCUGCUGCUGGAUUUCAGCGUAAGCUGGGUGCUCAUGCUUUUUGUAGAUGAAAACUUUAAAUUUCUCCAAACACUUUCAUAGUAUUCCUCUAUUAUUAUUUAUUUUUAUAGAACCACUUUACUGAGAUAUAGGCCACAUACCAUACAAAUCACCACCUAAAGUGUACAAGGCAGUGGUUUUUGCCCUUCACAGCGCUGUGUUCUAACUUAAUCAGAGCACUUUUAUCUCCCUGAAAGCAAACUCCGAGCCCACCUGAAAUCUCCCUCCGUGUCUGUCCGCCCACAGUCCGGCACUCGCUCCUCUGCUUGCUGCCACACACCUGCUGGCCUGGGCCUCACACGGCUGUGUGUGCUCUGCACAUGGUCCCUGGCGAUGGUCUCCUCACCACGCUGGGUGCCGGUGGUGCUUCAGCCCAGUGUGCACGGCCUGCAUUGCGCUGUGUACCUCGGUGAUCCCCACGAGGGGCCACGGUAAUGACGGCUCGCACAGGAGUGAACACUGGCCUUGCUUCUCUUGAGUGCACGGGUGGGAGCAAAAUUAGCUGCGCCCCCUGGGGGCCGAGGUCUUCCCUGGAGCCAGGGACUCAGACACCUGCCGUCCGGGAGCAGUGGCUGUGGGAGAGGAAGGUGGACAGUGACCAGAAGUCCUCGAUGCGUGGACGCGCCCAGGCGGAGCGGGCCCCACAGUGGGCUCUUGUAAUUCUACCGCAAGCCCCGGGAAUGGGACACAUGAGGACACCUGUCAUUACCCUGACCGUCCACCCAGGCUGUGCACAUCCUCUCCCCUCUGGCUGUCCUCGUCUCCCUCCGGGGCUGGGGGACAAUGGGCUGCUCUUCCACCUCCUGCUCUUCUUUGUCAAGUGGGACCGCUUCUCCGUCUUUGUCGUUCACUCGUGUCUGGCUGACUGACUUUAUCCUCGCCUGUCUGCUAGUGAAUUUCGUGCAAGAGACAUUUGUGCAUUUUUGUGUCAUGGGCUCCCAUUCUGGUCACCACUUUUACAGCUCCAAUUCUCUUCCAUAUUUUAGGGAGCUCAUUUUCACAUUCUAAACAGCUGGGCUCUGUCUGCUGAUCAUCAUCAGCGCAAGCCGCUGCCUGUCCAUCUUCUUCCCCAUCUGGUACCGGCUGCACUAUCCAAAGUCCUGGUCCACCAUCGUGAGUUCUGAUCUGGGUCUUGGCCAUGUCCCUAAUUGCACUGUGUAUACUGAACUGCUCGUAUGUGUCAUGAACUGACAAGGUGUGUAAGCUAUUUUUAUAGGGUUAUUUGUGUUUCUUUUCAUUAUUGUGUCUGCAACACUACUGGCCGUUGUGAUUACAUUUCUCAAAUCAAAUGCAGCUGCAGGGUGUGUCCACGCAUGUUGUGCAGCAUCCUGCUCCUCGCAGUUGUGUCCUUUUCCCUUCCCUAUGGUGGGAUUAGUUUCGAGUGAAGACCUCCUCAUCCCUAAGAAUAUGAGCUUCUGUACGGUUGUCCAGUGUGAACAGCAGCAUCAACCCUUGGUUUAUGACUCUGCAGGGAGAAUGGAGAGGCAGAGGUGCCAGGGGCACUUAUGGGAGGUUUUCCAGAAGGCCCUGGGGGAGGAGUUGGACCCCUCUUCUGGUCCACCCAGUAUCUCCACCUGAGCGUCCGAGGAGCAGAGGGCUGAGUGUUGAAGGGAUCCUGCCCCACCCCCUGUCCCCAGCAAGGCCACAAACACAGCCUCUCCCAUCACCUUCACAUGCCUGCCUGUCACAUUUAAGCGUUUAGACCUUGAGCUUCACUGUGCGUGUCACAGACAGCGCAGGUCUGGCUUCCUUCUCCGUGCCAGAGCCAUCCUUGGCCGCUGUUCUGUCAUAAAUCGCUGGGCUUUGCUCACUGUCGGGAAGGAGAGUUCCUUGCUUAUACGCAGGGCAAUCAGCAACUGUGGCGCCUGCUUUCUCAGUGCCUUUGUCACAGCAGCUGACAGGCGGCCUCAGUUUGCAAUAUUCAAACCCACCUUACCCCCACACGGGUGCUCGGGGGCCCACCCAGUGCCCCUCCCAUGAUGGCAGUGUUACCGCCACAUCCUGUCCUCGCAUGCCUGCAGAGUUGGCCCUCGGCCCCGGGGCUGCAGUCCUCCUGGAGGUGGGGUCCCUGUGCUGUGUGAGCCAGAAGCCGGCUCCUAUCUGGAAACCCCCCUGUCUCAGCCCCCUUUGGGGCACUGUGCUGCCCGCCCUGUGCUGCGUGAUUCCCCAGCCAAACAGGGACCCAGGGUCCUGUGCUCGAGAAUGCCCCGUGUCUUCCAAGUUAAUAAAGCUUUGUGUGAAGUUUUUCAGAUGUUGUAAUCAUGUCUGGCCAGUUGCCUUUCCAUGUCAUUCUCGAAAAGUUUCAAAAGUAAAAGCAGUGCUU
ensembl:lncRNA